UGGGGAAUAUUGCACAAUGGGCGCAAGCCUGAUGCAGCCAUGCCGCGUGUGUGAAGAAGGCCUUCGGGUUGUAAAGCACUUUCAGCGGGGAGGAAGGCGGUGAGGUUAAUAACCUCAUCGAUUGACGUUACCCGCAGAAGAAGCACCGGCUAACUCCGUGCCAGCAGCCGCGGUAAUACGGAGGGUGCAAGCGUUAAUCGGAAUUACUGGGCGUAAAGCGCACGCAGGCGGUCUGUCAAGUCGGAUGUGAAAUCCCCGGGCUCAACCUGGGAACUGCAUUCGAAAAUGGCAGGCUAGAGUCUUGUAGAGGGGGGUAGAAUUCCAGGUGUAGCGGUGAAAUGCGUAGAGAUCUGGGGGAAUACCGGUGGCGAAGGCGGCCCCCUGGACAAAGACUGACGCUCAGGUGCGAAAGCGUGGGGAGCAAACAGG
rnacentral:rRNA from 1 species